CGCUCAUCCAGAGGGGCAGAGGGAACGGCCCGUUGAAGCCCCGGCAACCCUCCCGCCGACCGCGAGGUCCAGGUGGGGAAGGUGCCAAUUCCGUCUCACGGCGAGAUGCGUCGUGAGGAAGAUGAGGA
rnacentral:ncRNA from 2 species